rnacentral:tRNA from 1 species
GUAGCUCAGCUGGAUAGAGCAACGGCCUUCUAAGCCGUGGGUCGGGGGUUCGAAUCCCUUUGG